AUCGGCUAGUCGCUGGUUGACCGUGUACCAGUAAGCGUGUUUGUAAUAGAGUGAAAAAGCGCGGUUAGGAUUGCUGACGCAAUCCUCCUUACUUUUUGUGCAAUCAUAUCCUGUAUUCCUAUUUAAGCCUUUUGUUCCCCAUACAACUUUCUGCAAUGGCCAAAUCGUCCCUGCCCUAAAUUCACUGGGGACGGGUGCCAAUUUAAAAAGAAGAAGAAGAAGAAGACAUAAAUGUAUCGUAGUCCAUAAACGUAAAAACAAUUAAGAAUAAAACGUGGACCCUAGAAUCGGACCCCAGGCAUACCUGGCACAAACUGUACGGGAGUUUCGAAGCGUUAUAGGAAAAAGGCCGCUGUGGCCGCUCUCAGGUUCCUCUCUGCCUCUCUGCUCUACUAACCCAGAAGAAGACUAUCUUGCAAUAGAGAUGUCGAAUGCGAAUUGUUAUACAAAUUUAUAAAUUAAACAAUAUAUAAGAUUAAAUAAAUUAAAUCUUGAUUUUUUGUUUCUUCCA